rnacentral:rRNA from 1 species
AAAUUGAAGAGUUUGAUCAUGGCUCAGAUUGAACGCUGGCGGCAGGCCUAACACAUGCAAGUCGAACGGUAACAGGAAGCAGCUUGCUGCUUUGCUGACGAGUGGCGGACGGGUGAGUAAUGUCUGGGAAACUGCCUGAUGGAGGGGGAUAACUACUGGAAACGGUGGCUAAUACCGCAUAACGUCGCAAGACCAAAGAGGGGGACCUUCGGGCCUCUUGCCAUCAGAUGUGCCCAGAUGGGAUUAGCUUGUUGGUGAGGUAACGGCUCACCAAGGCGACGAUCCCUAGCUGGUCUGAGAGGAUGACCAGCCACACUGGAACUGAGACACGGUCCAGACUCCUACGGGAGGCAGCAGUGGGGAAUAUUGCACAAUGGGCGCAAGCCUGAUGCAGCCAUGCCGCGUGUAUGAAGAAGGCCUUCGGGUUGUAAAGUACUUUCAGCGGGGAGGAAGGUGUUGUGGUUAAUAACCGCAGCAAUUGACGUUACCCGCAGAAGAAGCACCGGCUAACUCCGUGCCAGCAGCCGCGGUAAUACGGAGGGUGCAAGCGUUAAUCGGAAUUACUGGGCGUAAAGCGCACGCAGGCGGUCUGUCAAGUCGGAUGUGAAAUCCCCGGGCUCAACCUGGGAACUGCAUUCGAAACUGGCAGGCUUGAGUCUUGUAGAGGGGGGUAGAAUUCCAGGUGUAGCGGUGAAAUGCGUAGAGAUCUGGAGGAAUACCGGUGGCGAAGGCGGCCCCCUGGACAAAGACUGACGCUCAGGUGCGAAAGCGUGGGGAGCAAACAGGAUUAGAUACCCUGGUAGUCCACGCCGUAAACGAUGUCUACUUGGAGGUUGUGCCCUUGAGGCGUGGCUUCCGGAGCUAACGCGUUAAGUAGACCGCCUGGGGAGUACGGCCGCAAGGUUAAAACUCAAAUGAAUUGACGGGGGCCCGCACAAGCGGUGGAGCAUGUGGUUUAAUUCGAUGCAACGCGAAGAACCUUACCUGGUCUUGACAUCCACGGAAGUUUUCAGAGAUGAGAAUGUGCCUUCGGGAACCGUGAGACAGGUGCUGCAUGGCUGUCGUCAGCUCGUGUUGUGAAAUGUUGGGUUAAGUCCCGCAACGAGCGCAACCCUUAUCCUUUGUUGCCAGCGGUC